GAUGAACGCUGGCGGCGUGCUUAACACAUGCAAGUCGAACGAGAGAAGAUCGGUGCUUGCACUGAUCCGAUCGAGUGGCGGACGGGUGAGUAACGCGUGGGUAACCUGCCUCAUACAGGGGAAUAACAGUUGGAAACGGCUGCAAAAACCGCAUAAGCGCACAGUAUCGCAUGAUACCGUGUGAAAAACUCCGUUGGUAUGAGAUGGACCCGCGUCUGAUUAGCUAGUUGGUGAGGUAACGGCCAACCAAGGCAACGAUCAGUAGCCGGCCUGAGAGGGUGAACGGCCACAUUGGGACUGAGACACGGCCCAAACUCCUACGGGAGGCUGCAGUGGGGAAUAUUGCACAAUGGGGGAAACCCUGAUGCAGCGACGCCGCGUGAGUGAUGAAGUAUUUCGGUAUGUAAAGCUCUAUCAGCAGGGAAGAUAAUGACGGUACCUGACUAAGAAGCACCGGCUAAAUACGUGCCAGCAGCCGCCGUAA
rnacentral:rRNA from 1 species